rnacentral:lncRNA from 1 species
UUUGAUUAAAUUAGAUAAGAUGUGGCAUUCUUUAAAAAUAUAUGCAUGUUUUGGAAUAUAUGCAUGUGAUUGAAUGUAUGGAUAUUAUUUUAUUUUUGAUAAAGUAGUUUUACCAAAAGUUGUGAUUCCUAGAAAUUAGAUUAGGUGUAAUUUAGGUUUCAUAAAUUUUAAGUUAUGGAAUUAGAUCAUGGACUUUUACCUCCAUACAUGUUUUUAUUUAUUUUUAUUUUAGAAUAAUUUUAUGUGAGCC